UUGAAAUACCGGUUCCCGAAGUUAAGCAACAUUGAGCCUGGUCAGUACUUAGAUGGACGACCGCUUGGGAAUAUCAGGUGCUGUAAG